rnacentral:rRNA from 1 species
AUGAGCCGGCAAUGGAUGUACGAUGACCGAUGCUCUCCCAAGUUCAUUAAUGGUGUGCAUACUUUUCUGCUUGUGGCUGAGGCAAACAAGCGGGCAGAUGGCUUUAUGUGUUGUCCAUGUGCGUACUGUAAGAAUGAUCGAAAUUACUCUAACGUAAGAACCAUUCACGUCCACCUGUUUGAGUCCAGUUUCAUGUCCGGCUAUAACUGUUGGACCAAGCACGGAGAAAGAGGGGUCCUGAUGGAAGAGAAUGAAGAAGAAGAGGAUGACGACAACUAUCCUGGCCAUGGGUUACUUGAAUACGAUGGUGUCUAUAAGUCUAUGAGGAGUUUGAUAUUUACAGAGAAAGUCGACCCCUAA